GAUGAACGCUGGCGGCGCGCCUAAUACAUGCAAGUCGAGCGAACAGACGAGGAGCUUGCUCCUCUGACGUUAGCGGCGGACGGGUGAGUAACACGUGGAUAACCUACCUAUAAGACUGGGAUAACUUCGGGAAACCGGAGCUAAUACCGGAUAAUAUAUUGAACCGCAUGGUUCAAUAGUGAAAGACGGUUUUGCUGUCACUUAUAGAUGGAUCCGCGCCGCAUUAGCUAGUUGGUAAGGUAACGGCUUACCAAGGCAACGUUGCGUAGCCGACCUGAGAGGGUGAUCGGCCACACUGGAACUGAGACACGGUCCAGACUCCUACGGGAGGCAGCAGUAGGGAAUCUUCCGCAAUGGGCGAAAGCCUGACGGAGCAACGCCGCGUGAGUGAUGAAGGUCUUCGGAUCGUAAAACUCUGUUAUUAGGGAAGAACAAAUGUGUAAGUAACUAUGCACGUCUUGACGGUACCUAAUCAGAAAGCCACGGCUAACUACGUG
rnacentral:rRNA from 1 species